rnacentral:rRNA from 1 species
GAUGAACGCUGGCGGCGUGCUUAACACAUGCAAGUCGAACGAGAAAUGUAGACGGACGCCUUCGGGCGGAAGCCUUCAUUUCGAGUGGCGGACGGGUGAGUAACGCGUGGGUAACCUGCCUCAUACAGGGGGAUAACAGUUGGAAACGACUGUUAAUACCGCAUAAGACCACAGCAUCGCAUGAUGCGGGGGUAAAAACUCCGGUGGUAUGAGAUGGACCCGCGUUCGAUUAGCCAGUUGGCGGGGUAACGGCCCACCAAAGCGACGAUCGAUAGCCGAUCUGAGAGGAUGACCGGCCACAUUGGGACUGAGACACGGCCCAGACUCCUACGGGAGGCAGCAGUGGGGAAUAUUGCACAAUGGGGGAAACCCUGAUGCAGCGACGCCGCGUGAGUGAAGAAGUACUUCGGUAUGUAAAGCUCUAUCAGCAGGGAAGAAAAUGACGGUACCUGAGUAAGAAGCCCCGGCUAACUACGUG